GAUGAACGCUGGCGGCGUGCUUAACACAUGCAAGUCGAACGGAAAGGCUCCUGCUUGCCGGGGUACUCGAGUGGCGAACGGGUGAGUAACACGUGGGUGAUCUGCCCUGCACUUCGGGAUAAGCCUGGGAAACUGGGUCUAAUACCGGAUAGGACCACAUUUUGGAUGGUGUGGUGGAAAGUUUUUCGGUGUGGGAUGAGCUCGCGGCCUAUCAGCUUGUUGGUGGGGUAAUGGCCUACCAAGGCGUCGACGGGUAGCCGGCCUGAGAGGGUGUACGGCCACAUUGGGACUGAGAUACGGCCCAGACUCCUACGGGAGGCAGCAGUGGGGAAUAUUGCACAAUGGGCGCAAGCCUGAUGCAGCGACGCCGCGUGGGGGAUGACGGCCUUCGGGUUGUAAACUCCUUUCGCUAGGGACGAAGCGUUUUUGUGACGGUACCUGGAGAAGAAGCACCGGCGAACUACGU
rnacentral:rRNA from 1 species